CCACGGCUAACUACGUGCCAGCAGCCGCGGUAAUACGUAGGUGGCAAGCGUUGUCCGGAAUUAUUGGGCGUAAAGCGCGCGCAGGCGGUCUCUUAAGUCUGAUGUGAAAGCCCACGGCUCAACCGUGGAGGGCCAUUGGAAACUGGGGGACUUGAGUGCAGAAGAGGAGAGUGGAAUUCCACGUGUAGCGGUGAAAUGCGUAGAUAUGUGGAGGAACACCAGUGGCGAAGGCGGCUCUCUGGUCUGUAACUGACGCUGAGGCGCGAAAGCGUGGGGAGCGAACAGGAUUAGAUACCCUGGUAGUCCACGCCGUAAACGAUGAGUGCUAGGUGUUGGGGGGUUCCACCCUCAGUGCUGAAGUUAACACAUUAAGCACUCCGCCUGGGGAGUACGACCGCAAGGUUGAAACUCAAAGGAAUUGACGGGGGCCCGCACAAGCAGUGGAGCAUGUGGUUUAAUUCGAAGCAACGCGAAGAACCUUACCAGGUCUUGACAUCCUCUGCCACUCCUAGAGAUAGGACGUUCCCCUUCGGGGGACAGAGUGACAGGUGGUGCAUGGUUGUCGUCAGCUCGUGUCGUGAGAUGUUGGGUUAAGUCCCGCAACGAGCGCAACCCUUGAUCUUAGUUGCCAGCAUUCAGUUGGGCACUCUAAGGUGACUGCCGGUGACAAACCGGAGGAAGGUGGGGACGACGUCAAAUCAUCAUGCCCCUUAUGACCUGGGCUACACACGUGCUACAAUGGACGGUACAAAGGGCUGCGACACCGCGAGGUGAAGCGAAUCCCAUAAAGCCGUUCUCAGUUCGGAUUGUAGGCUGCAACUCGCCUACAUGAAGCCGGAAUUGCUAGUAAUCGCGGAUCAGCAUGCCGCGGUGAAUACGUUCCCGGGCCUUGUACACACCGCCCGUCACACCACGAGAGUUUGUAACACCCGAAGUCGGUGAGGUAACCUUU
rnacentral:rRNA from 1 species